UAGGCGCAAUUUUCUUCUUUUGAUGUAUGUGAACGAGUGGAUGAGUUAUGAAUGUUUAGAUGAGGAUGCAUGUACUCAGAACAUUCAUAAUUCAUCUGCUCGUUCACAUCCAUCAGGAGAAGAAAAUCGGGUUAU